GUGACAGUUGGCACGUGUGACGUGAGUUGGCGAGCGAGUGAGACACGGAUCUUUAUGGUGGAACCUUGAGGAAGUGAGCCCUGGGCUGGGGCCCGAGUGUGAGCAUGGGCAGUGGGAACAGCGGCCAUAAAGAAAGGCCUUGGCACAGAGGAAAAUGGGCAGGUCUCCCCAGACGUACUACGGUUCCAAGUGGCUUCCUAGAUGCAGGUCUUAGGACAAGGGUGUCUCCAGAGCUUGGAAACUGGCCUUGACCCUGUUUCCAGCCCAGCCCUUGAGAAUCAGCCUCUUCCCCUCCGCGUCCAGCCCGCCACCCACAGCUUGUGUGGCAACGUGCACAGAAACAUUCAUGUCUCCAGCUCCUGGAUCCUCCCGGCGACGACUUCCUCAAACCGGUUACUUAAUGAACGUCAUCCAAUUC